AUCUACAACAGAUCAUACAACUACAACUACAGUCACUCUUAUAACAACAACACAACUUACAUCUACAACAGAACUCAGCAUCCGAGAGCCCUCACAAACAUCUGCAACUGGCUUCGGCACAACCACUCUACAUGGAACAACGUCAGUGCAUAUGCUGAUUACCAACCAUCUGCAAACUCAGGGAACAGUUUCAAGACAAGGAGUGACUCCGGAUUCCAAGCCAAUAUCAAUGGACACAUCCGCAACAUUUCCAACCUCUCAGGAAAUAAAUGACUCAAUAUCUUCUCCUGAGUCUUUAGCUCACGAACACCGGGACUCAACUUUGGGUUUAUCCAUUCAACCAGAGCUAAACGAUCCCGAAUCGGAAGCAACUACAAUGACAGACAC